rnacentral:lncRNA from 1 species
AGGAAUCAGACUUUUCUUUUAUUGCUUCUUUCACCGGCAUGAGCCACCUCUUCUUUUUUCUGGAGAGUGGGCACCCUAGUCUCAGGAUUUGGUUCUUUGUUUUCUACCUUUUGUGAAGUACAACGUUUGGCGUGAACUGUUGGAGGAGCAUAAUCAGACUCUGCCCUAAACUCUUCGGGCAAAAUCACCGGGAUAACUAUGUUAGCUAUUCGUUUCGGC